AGCAGCCGCGGUAAUUCCAGCUCCAAUAGCGUAUAUUAAAGUUGUUGCAGUUAAAAAGCUCGUAGUUGAAUUUCGGGAUCAAGUCGUCGGUCGUGCUCAGGUACGUACUGGCGUCAUUGAUUUCUCCCUUCUGACGAACCAUGAUGUCAUUAAUUUGGUGUCAUGGGAAAUCAGGACUGUUACUUUGAAAAAAUUAGAGUGUUUAAAGCAGGCUCACGCUUGAAUACAUUAGCAUGGAAUAAUGAAAUAGGACGUUCGAUCCUAUUUUGUUGGUUUUAGGAUCAACGUAAUGAUUAAUAGGGAUAGUUGGGGGCAUUAGUAUUCAAUUGUCAGAGGUGAAAUUCUUGGAUUUAUUGAAGACUAACUACUGCGAAAGCAUUUGCCAAGGAUGUUUUCAUUAAUCAAGAACGAAAGUUAGGGGAUCGAAGACGAUCAGAUACCGUCGUAGUCUUAACCAUAAACUAUGCGACUAGGGAUCGGAUGAUGUUAAUUUUUAAUGAUCAUUC
rnacentral:misc_RNA from 1 species